rnacentral:tRNA from 1 species
GGUCUGAUGGUCUAGUGGUAGGAUUCUCGCUUUGGGUUGGGUUAACUCAGUCGCAAAAUGCGAGAGGUCCCGGGUUCGAUCCCCGGUCAGACCC